rnacentral:rRNA from 1 species
CCUUAGGACUGCGGAGGGAUCAUUACACAAUACAAUAUGAAGGCCGUACGCGGCUGGAUUAUUUUAUUACCCUUGUCUUUUGCGCACUUGUUGUUUCCUGGGCGGGUUCGCCCGCCACCAGGACCACACCAUAAACCUUUUUUAUGCAGUUGCAAUCAGCGUCAGUACAACAAAUGUAAAUCAUUUACAACUUUCAACAACGGAUCUCUUGGUUCUGGCAUCGAUGAAGAACGCAGCGAAAUGCGAUACGUAGUGUGAAUUGCAGAAUUCAGUGAAUCAUCGAAUCUUUGAACGCACAUUGCGCCCUUUGGUAUUCCAAAGGGCAUGCCUGUUCGAGCGUCAUUUGUACCCUCAAGCUUUGCUUGGUGUUGGGCGUUUUUUGUCUUUGGUUGCCAAAGACUCGCCUUAAAACGAUUGGCAGCCGGCCUCCUGGUUUCGCAGCGCAGCACAUUUUUGCGCUUGCAAUCAGCAACAGAGGGCGGCACUCCAUCAAGACUCCAUUUUCACGUUUGACCUCGGAUCAGGUAGGGAUACCCGCUGAACUUAAGCAUAUCAUAA